UCUCACAGGAGAAGAUGAUCUGCAGCAUCCUGCUGCUCAUCAUCCUGACCUCCUGUGUCUCUGGAACAUUUGUAGUGAAUGUGACCCAGACCUCCUAUCAGGCAGAGGAGAACCACCACAU